rnacentral:lncRNA from 1 species
GAACAUUGAUCUACUUUUCUCGUGAGCGGAGGUGAUCUACUUUCCUUUUCUUGUGGUGGUGACUACUAGAUUGCAAUAAAAUCAGAAACUUGCUGCAUUAUAGCGUAUAGAUCAUCAACGGCAUUUUUGUGAAAUUGAUAUGCCUCAUCUUCUUUUAUCUAUGAAGAUUUAUAGCGUAUAGAUUGCAAAAACCCAUCUCAGUUUCCUUUCAUAAAAAGCCACCGCUCUCUAAAACCCUAAAACCUCACACCAUCACUGCCACCAUGCUCGCCGUCACCGUAGAAGCCUCCUAUAUAAUUUUCUUCUCAAUAGCUUCUCCCCACACCUGAACUCCUCUUUUCUCUAUGCCUAUGUUGUGACCGGUGAAAAUUGAAAUUAAGGAGUUUAUUAGAAUUUUUUUAUUUUGUUAUUGGAUGUUCAGUAAAAGAGAAGAAGAUUAGUAUGAAUGUAUGAUCGGUAGGUGUAGUUAGAAGAUGUCAACUUUUUAUCUAUUAAAAAUUACUAUUAUUUUGUGUCUUUUAACUGCAUGAACUUAAUUUGUGUCUAUUUUAACUUAUAAUUGGCAGGAAAAUCAAUUUGUCUAGAUGAUUCGCUUUUCUCUUUUGCCUACCAGGUGUUUGUUAAAACGCUUUUUCUCUUUGUUUGAAUUCCUUUUUCUUCAUCUUACCAAAAUUUUCUUCAUGUUGACAUGCGGAUUGAUUUGAUAUAGG